CUUGGUCAGAGGAAGUAAAAGUCGUAACAAGGUUUCCGUAGGUGAACCUGCGGAAGGAUCAUUAACACGUAUCCAACGUAUACACCCCUGUGGUCCUGUGUGCGGCUCUAUAUGUAAGUGGUACAAACUACUUUGUGACUUGCGUAGUUACAAUGAAAAUUUUUUGACUACUACCAACUAACCCGCGUGGUUGGUGGAAUGUAUUCAGUAAAAUUAGUUACUACCAGUUUUCUGCGAGAAAACAGCUUCAUAUAGCAGACGUUUUAACCAAACCAUUACCAAAUUUGACUAAUUUAGAAAUAAGUAUGAUGCGCUCUGCUUUAUUUCGAAAUACGAAACGUUAACAACUCUUAACAACGGAUAUCUUGGUUCUC
rnacentral:misc_RNA from 1 species